rnacentral:tRNA from 1 species
GGAUGUGUGGCUCAAGUGGUAGAGUGACAGCCUUGAAAGAAAAAGGCAAGCAAGAGCAAAAGGUCCUGGGUUCAAGUCCCAGCAAACCCU